UUGCAGGCUACAGCCAUCCUGGGUGUUCUUUGUGCAGCACCUCUAUAUAUAUUCUUUCUAGAACAAGGGCAAUUUACAGCUUUGGUCCAUUAGAGGGAAAAAGGUGAUCAAGAAGAAAGCGGGCAGUAUUUCCUGGACACUUCAAAAUGAUAGGGAAAAUUAGAACUGAGAGGGGCAAGGGAUUUCUAUCAUUGUUCUGCUUGGGAACAAAACUGAUCUUGUUGACAAGAGUAAAUUGAACAGAAAACACAUAACUACAUGGUCUUCCCUGUUGAAGCACAUCUUCCAUGGGUCUGUAACAGCUCAGCCUACUCAAGUAGACGAUGACAAGCCAGAGAGUUUCUAGAGCCAAUGUGUGAAACAUCAAGUGCUUCAAGUUUUAAGCUGCAGCAGCUUUUGCACCACUGCACCAACCUGUUUGUAGCAUUUAGACAUCACUUGCUUGGAUGCCAUCCUCACACUGUUGUAUAUAUCAGAUUAUUUUUAUAAAACCAUUAAAUUCCAUUUACCUUCUUUGUACUUUAAGAUUUGUGAAUAUGUUUUCUCCUAUAUUUCUGAGGCUGUGCAAACUCAUUUUAGAUAUCAACAUGUCUUGAGUAAA